GAUGAACGCUGGCGGCGUGCUUAACACAUGCAAGUCGAACGGAAAGGCCCAAGCUUGCUUGGGUACUCGAGUGGCGAACGGGUGAGUAACACGUGGGUGAUCUGCCCUGCACUUCGGGAUAAGCCUGGGAAACUGGGUCUAAUACCGGAUAGGACCACGUCUUGGAUGUUGUGGUGGAAAGUUUUUUCGGUGUGGGAUGAGCUCGCGGCCUAUCAGCUUGUUGGUGGGGUAAUGGCCUACCAAGGCGUCGACGGGUAGCCGGCCUGAGAGGGUGUACGGCCACAUUGGGACUGAGAUACGGCCCAGACUCGUACGGGAGGCAGCAGUGGGGAAUAUUGCACAAUGGGCGCAAGCCUGAUGCAGCGACGCCGCGUGGGGGAUGACGGCCUUCGGGUUGUAAACUCCUUUCGCGAGGGACGAAGCGUUUUUGUGACGGUACCUGGAGAAGAAGCACCGGCUAACUACGUG
rnacentral:rRNA from 1 species